GACGAACGCUGGCGGCGUGCUUAACACAUGCAAGUCGAACGGAAAGGCCCUGCUUUUGUGGGGUGCUCGAGUGGCGAACGGGUGGGUAACACGUGAGUAACCUGCCCUUGACUUUGGGAUAACUUCAGGAAACUGGGGCUAAUACCGGAUAGGAGCUCCUGCUGCAUGGUGGGGGUUGGAAAGUUUCGGCGGUUGGGGAUGGACUCGCGGCUUAUCAGCUUGUUGGUGGGGUAGUGGCUUACCAAGGCUUUGACGGGUAGCCGGCCUGAGAGGGUGACCGGCCACAUUGGGACUGAGAUACGGCCCAGACUCCUACGGGAGGCAGCAGUGGGGAAUAUUGCACAAUGGGCGGAAGCCUGAUGCAGCAACGCCGCGUGCGGGAUGACGGCCUUCGGGUUGUAAACCGCUUUCGCCUGUGACGAAGCGUGAGUGACGGUAAUGGGUAAAGAAGCGCCGGCUAACUACGUGCCAGCAGCCGCGGUGAUACGUAGGGUGCGAGCGUUGUCCGGAUUUAUUGGGCGUAAAGGGCUCGUAGGUGGUUGAUCGCGUCGGAAGUGUAAUCUUGGGGCUUAACCCUGAGCGUGCUUUCGAUACGGGUUGACUUGAGGAAGGUAGGGGAGAAUGGAAUUCCUGGUGGAGCGGUGGAAUGCGCAGAUAUCAGGAGGAACACCAGUGGCGAAGGCGGUUCUCUGGGCCUUUCCUGACGCUGAGGAGCGAAAGCGUGGGGAGCGAACAGGCUUAGAUACCCUGGUAGUCCACGCUGUAAACGGUGGGUACUAGGUGUGGGGUCCAUUCCACGGGUUCCGUGCCGUAGCUAACGCUUUAAGUACCCCGCCUGGGGAGUACGGCCGCAAGGCUAAAACUCAAAGGAAUUGACGGGGCCCCGCACAAGCGGCGGAGCAUGCGGAUUAAUUCGAUGCAACGCGUAGAACCUUACCUGGGUUUGACAUGGAUCGGGAGUGCUCAGAGAUGGGUGUGCCUCUUUUGGGGUCGGUUCACAGGUGGUGCAUGGCUGUCGUCAGCUCGUGUCGUGAGAUGUUGGGUUAAGUCCCGCAACGAGCGCAACCCUUGUUCACUGUUGCCAGCACGUUAUGGUGGGGACUCAGUGGAGACCGCCGGGGUCAACUCGGAGGAAGGUGGGGAUGACGUCAAGUCAUCAUGCCCCUUAUGUCCAGGGCUUCACGCAUGCUACAAUGGCUGGUACAGAGAGUGGCGAGCCUGUGAGGGUGAGCGAAUCUCGGAAAGCCGGUCUCAGUUCGGAUUGGGGUCUGCAACUCGACCUCAUGAAGUCGGAGUCGCUAGUAAUCGCAGAUCAGCAACGCUGCGGUGAAUACGUUCCCGGGGCU
rnacentral:rRNA from 1 species